rnacentral:rRNA from 1 species
UCAAGAAUCUUCCUCAAUGGCCGAAAGGCUGAAGGAGCGACGCCGCGUGCAGGACGAAACUCUUCGGAGCGUAAACUGCUUUUCUGAGGGAACAAGCUUCGGUUGAGUGUACCUCAGGAAUAAGUCGCAGCUAACUUCGUGCCAGCAGCUGCGGUAAGACGAAGGCGACAAGCGUUAUCCGGAUUUACUGGGCGUAAAGAGUGUGUAGGCGGUUUAAUAAGUUUUGGUUAAGCCCUUUGCUUAACAUUGGGAGUGCUAAGAAACUGUUAAACUAGAGGUCGGGAGAGGCAAGCGGAACUGCCGGUGUAGGGUAGAAUCCGUUAAUAUCGGCAGGAACACCAAAAGCGAAGGCAGCUUGCUAGAACGAUUCUGACGCUGAGACACGAAGCGUGGGGAGAGAACG